UACGUAGGUGGCAAGCGUUGUCCGGAAUUAUUGGGCGUAAAGCGCGCGCAGGCGGUUCUUUAAGUCUGAUGUGAAAGCCCCCGGCUCAACCGGGGAGGGUCAUUGGAAACUGGGGAACUUGAGUACUGAAGAGGAAAGCGGAAUUCCACGUGUAGCGGUGAAAUGCGUAGAGAUGUGGAGGAACACCAGUGGCGAAGGCGGCUUUCUGGUCAGUAACUGACGCUGAGGCGCGAAAGCGUGGGGAGCGAACAGG
rnacentral:rRNA from 1 species